rnacentral:lncRNA from 12 species
UACAAUAAAGUGGAAGCAGAAGAAAACCUAAUUCAUUCGAAAUCACAUGUCUCCUUGGCCUGGGAGCUGGACUCUCCUAGUGUCCAGGUUGCCCCAAGGAGGAGACAAUCCAGGACCAUGUAUGGCAGAUACGCUCAGGUCAGAUUCUGUCCUCCGGGCAACCCGCUUACUUCUGUCCAGACGGGUGUGUUUGGAGCUGUCUAGGAGUGACCCCAUUAUGUAAACCCCUAAUGUCCACCUUCACCCCAGGUGGUAUGUGGGUCCCUAUAUUCAGCUCUUCUGAAGGUUAUUCUCUCCACAUGCAUUUCUCCUCUCGACCGCUUCAUGGAAUUUUUGUUGCAGUAUACACACCUCCCUGGGGCAGACUGUCAGCCUGCAUAAUCAACGUCGCCUCGGCGCUAGAGGAAACUUCCAGAGAACCACUUCCUUGUCCUCGGAAAAAGAAGCUAGCGGUCUCAGGAAUUGCAGAUCAUUAUCUUUCCAUCACCAGGAAGGUAGAGCCCAAUAAACAAAGUUCCUCCAUCAAAAACGACAGCACAGAGAAGACUAGAAACCCGGUUCUUCAUGGUGUCAUUGAACCACUGACUCAAAUCGGCUCUGAAGUAAAGCCCACAUUACCACUUCUUGGAUGA